AACAUACCCCUUUCUGCGGAAUAGCCUUGGGAAACUGAGAGUAAUACCGCAUACGCCCCUGAUUUAUUUUGGGGGGAAAGAUUUAUCGGUGAGGGAUUGGCCCGCGUUGGAUUAGGUAGUUGGUGGGGUAAUGGCCUACCAAGCCGACGAUCCAUAGCUGGUUUGAGAGGAUGAUCAGCCACACUGGGACUGAGACACGGCCCAGACUCCUACGGGAGGCAGCAGUGGGGAAUCUUAGACAAUGGGGGCAACCCUGAUCUAGCCAUGCCGCGUGAUC
rnacentral:rRNA from 1 species